CAGUAGCCACGGGAAUACGAGGGGGGCAAGCGUUGUUCGGAAUUAUUGGGCGUAAAGGGUGCGUAGGCGGCUUGACAAAUCUUGUGUGAAAUCUAUGGGCUCAACCCAUAGUCUGCACGGGAGACUGCCGGGCUUGAGGAUCGGAGGGGGUGACGGAAUUUAUGGCGUAGCAGUGAAACGCGUAGAUAUCAUAAGGAACACCGGUGGCGAAGGCGGUUACCUGGAAGAUUCCUGACUCUGAAACACGAAAGCCAGGGGAGCAAACGGGAUUAGAUACCCCAGUAGUCCCUGUCUCUUAUAA
rnacentral:rRNA from 1 species